rnacentral:rRNA from 1 species
GACGGGGCCGCACAAGCAGUGGAGCAUGUGGUUUAAUUCGAUGCAACGCGAAGAACCUUACCUGGGCUUGAACUGCAGGCGUAGUCGCUUGAAAGGGCGGCGAACUCCUUCGGGAAGACCUGUAGAGGUGCUGCAUGGCUGUCGUCAGCUCGUGUCGUGAGAUGUUGGGUUAAGUCCCGCAACGAGCGCAACCCUUGCCAUUAGUUGCUACGAAAGGGCACUCUAAUGGGACUGCCGGUGACAAACCGGAGGAAGGUGGGGAUGACGUCAAGUCCUCAUGGCCCUUAUAGGUGGGGCUACACACGUCAUACAAUGGCCGGUACAGAGGGUAGCCAACCCGCGAGGGGGAGCCAAUCCCACAAAGCCGGUCGUAGUCCGGAUCGCAGUCUGCAACUCGACUGCGUGAAGUCGGAAUCGCUAGUAAUCGCGGAUCAGCAUGUCGCGGUGAAUACGUUCCCGGGUCUU